CGGAGUAAUCGAGGAAGCUGAAAUUAAUGAAGUGAGACGAACCUCGUGUCUCAGCCACAGAAAGUCAGAAGAAACUAAUUAAAAGAUCAUUAAAGCCACUGACAUGACUCUGGAGAUCAACUUGUCACAUUUUAGUCCUAAAGCUUCUUAAUUUGUGGCCCCAUUAUAGUUUAAACAGCAGAUUAAUGUGUAUUACAGCACUGCUGCUAAUAUUAGCUCUGCUUUUUAUUGGAGAGUAAAGGAGUUCUCUGAAGAAACAAACGGACUGUCGAAUGAAGAAGAGCAGUGGGACAAAGACAGGAAAUCAGGUGGAAGCUGAAUUAGUGAGGAUGACUCCUGCUCCUGUCAUCUCUAAGCUCCUCACACAUCUUUACCUGCACAUGAGGAAAAUCACUCCUGCAGAAUGCAAUGGUUCAUCAGAACCUCUGGGGAUGUCCUGUGGAUUCUGUGGAUCCUGUGGGUUGCAGGGUGGGUCCUACCUAGACCAGGCUGAUCCUGGACCAUCCCACAGAUGCUCCAUCAGAUGUGGAUGUGGGGAGUGUGGAACCCAGGUGAACAGCUUAGCUCUGUCGUGUUCCUCGGACCACUCCUGAGCAGUUUUACUUCGUCCUGCUGAGGGAGGCAGCUGGCAUCAAGGACUGCUGUUGCCAUGGAGACUAGGGGGUUGUUUGUCCUGCAGUGUUUAGGUGGUGAUGUUCAGAGGGAGAUGAUGCCACAUCUGGUCCAGCUGAUGGAAGGUCUUGAAGUUCUCUGACUGGCCUCGACUGAAGAUGGUCGUCUCACUGGAUUUAAGGUUCAGAUGCUCAGUAACAAACUCCACCAAUGAGCCAACAGGGAAGCUUUAGGUUUAUUAAAUGUUGCUAUGAAGGUAUCACUGUUGUUCUUUGUGAAUGCAAUGUGCUCCAACUGAAACUUGAAUUAGAACUUAGAAGUAAAUCCUUCCAUCUGAAAGGAUUUAGUUGCAUUAAUAACCUCAUAACAUUCUAAUUUUUAUUCCAGUCUUGGUUGGAAAUAGAAUCUCUGUAUUGAUUCAGGUAAAAACUGAACUUCACACCAUGUUGAAGCAAAACAACCAGAUGAAAACUGUGAUGGUGUUGGAUUGUCAGACCGUAAUGUUGCAGCUCAAAGCAGCUUUUCUAUCUCAGUUCAUUCUGACAUUCAGCUAUGAAUCAACACAGCAGAUGGUGAUCCAUGCUGUGGAAGUCUCACAUCUCCUGAUUUAAUGGAGCUGCUUUGCACUUUUUACACUGUUUAUUCACCAACACUUUAUUUAAUAAAAGUCCCAUCUAGUUUUUAUGAGGAAUGUGAUGUUUUAAUUUCUCUGUGAAUAACUGCAGUCUAAUGUAACAGCUGGAGUUGUAACAUCUGUCCUGAUAUUGAUCAUGAAGUAUUGAUCAGAAUACUUAUGGUCAGCAGUCAUCCCUGAAGUUUUACAUUAAAGUCUUUACUUGUGUUGUGAACUUUGGUAAGAAGCAGAAACUUUACUGUUGCCAUGGAUACAUGAGUGUUAAAUUCUGUCCAUGUUUCCAUUGUGGGAAAUUCAGUCCAGCGGAUGAGUUUGUUUUUACUGACAGCUACCAUUCAGUCUGAGAUAUUAAGAAUAAAUAAAUGUGCAUAAUGUGGAAGUGAACAUAUUUUAUUUCUAUUUAUUCCUACAGCUGCUGCACGGAAAGUUCCAGAAUGUGGAGGAAUUUAGUCUCACAAUCACAGACAAUAAAUAUUAUCUGAAAGUCAGGUUAUUGUUGUUUAUCAGCACAAUACAAAAAGAUUAAUGUUAGAAAUAUUGCAGUUAAGACUCUAGAAUAUCAUGAUUUAUGUAAAUUUACCUCAAUAAUAUGAAUGUUCAGGUUAAGAUUGUACAGUGAUAUUUAUUAUGUACGUUUAGCUGAUUAAAGUUUGACUCUGCACUACAAUAUUAUUAUUUAGAUUUACAUCAUUAUUAUAAUAUUUAGGGUCAGACCCUACAGUAUUGAGAUUAAGAAAUCAAAUCUAUAAGAUGUAAAUAAAUACACUGAACUCAUUUGGAUAUAUUUAAGUGAGACUCUACAAUAUUAUUUGACACAAAUCUAUCUAAAUCAUAAUUUUAAUCAUUUUUACUCCAAACAUUUAUUGGACUGAUUUAAAUAUUAAAAUCACUCCUUUCUAAUCCUCUGCUGUACGUUCAAACCUGAGGCCUUAAAUAGAAACACAAGUAUCUGAUUGAAGGAACUUCUGCAGAGUCCUGGUUCCAGAACAUGAUGACAGAAUUAUAGACAAACUUUGACAAAAGCUGCCUGAGAGUUUACAGGUUUUUAUGUUAGAUUUCUUCAGUAAUUUAAUGAGAGUUAUCAGCAAAAAUCAAGUGUUAAUUUGAUGAACUUCAUUUCCUAAAACAUCCAGAAUUGGAGCUCAUAUCUUUGGCAGCUGUAAAGUUUCUGCUCCCUUAAAGUUCACAACACAAUGAAUUAAUUCCUAAAACACUCUCAAUGCUGGAGAGCGUUUGAUGCUGAAGCAGUGACCAGUUUUUCUGUUUCUUCUCUGGAGAUGCACAAUGAGGGACGUCUGCAGAGACUGAGAAAGAGUCUCACCACAUCCUGACAUGAGGAAAAAGACUUUAUUGAAGACUACAAUGAGAAAAACUAUCAGACAGCAGACGGCUGCAUUCAAGUCUGUAGCUGCUGAAUUCAUGGAUGAAUCAUCUGGCACUAGAGAAGAAGACCAUCAAACAUCCACGUCAGCUGAUGGAGGUCCAAGAGUCUCACCCAACAAACAACCUACAUAGUGAAGACCUCAAAUCUGAUUGGACGGCCUCCUAUUCAGCCACAUUUUAGGCUGUUAGAUUGUUCCAGAUAAGACAAGUACAAGAUUCUUCAGAGCCGUUCUACCACGAGCCUGACAGGAAGAACUCCAACAGCUACUGAAUGUUCCUGUGGUUCCCUCAAGGCUACAGGAGGAGCCCUACGAGGACGAGCCGGUCCACCUGAUGGCGGCCAGUCGCUGCGGUUCAAAGCCAACACCGACUACGUGAACUUCUACUGGACCACACGGAGGCCUUCAAACCGGACCAACAAGUUCAGCGACUCCCCGACUCGUGGGUCUGAGGACGCCGCCGAGCCUCGGUCCAGCCGGCCUCCUGUCUGUGGGUGUUUGAGUGCUGAGAGGUUUGUGGAUGCAUGUGAACGUUCUGUGUUGAAACAGCAGCUUUGGACUCACUAACGCCGGGAAAAACCAAGAGCUCCUUUAUUUGUGACUUCCACUAAAAAACUGAUGAAAAUAAGUUUGUCAGGGUUCUGACUGAUAACAGAUUAUUAAAUAAUGAAAAUAAUCAUUUAAAUAUUCCUUUAAACAAUCCUUUUAGGUCUACAUUUCCUUUACACUGACCUCUUGGUAUAUGUACAAGUAUUUUGGGUGGAAUAUACCAUUAAGCCCAAUGUUCAAGGGUUCUUCUGGGAAUAUACCAUUAAACCAACCUUUUAGGUAAAUGUUCCAGGAUGUUGGGUAGAAUAUACCAUCAGAUAAACCUUUUAGGCCUACAUUGGAAGAUUUUACAGUAGAAUAUUACUUCAAACCAUCCUUUAGGUCUACAUUUAAGGUGGAAUACUCCUUUACACCAAGAUUUUUUUUGGUCAACAUUGAAAGAUUUUAGGUGGAAUAUUCCUUUGAACUAACUUUUUAAGUUUAUGUUCAAGGAUGUUGGGUGGAAUAUACCAUCAGACCAACCUCCAAGGUCUACAGCAGUGAAUUUUAGGUGGAGUAUACCAUUAAACUCACCUUUUAGAUCUACAUUGGAGGAUUUUAGGUGGUAUAUUCUUCCAAACCAACUUCUCAGGUCUACAUUUCAGGUGGAAUAUUCCUCCAUACUAACUUUUUUGGUUUACAUUGAAGGAUUUUUUUCUAAACCACCCUUCCGGGUCUAUAUUUGAGGUUUUAGGUGGAAUAUUCCUUUUAACCAGCCCCUCAGGUCUCUUUGAGGAUUUUGGAUGGAAUACUCGGUUAAACCAACAUUUUAGGUGCAUGUCCAAGGAUUUUUGGUGGAAUGUUCCUUUAAGGUCCAUGUGUGAGGACCUUGUAGGUGGAAUAUUUCCUGAAACCAACCUUUUAGGUCAACAUUCAAAGAUUUAAGGUGGAAUAUUCCUUUAAACCAACCUAAAUUUCAUGUUUUGAUCAUUAUCAUCCAGACUCCUCAUAAUGACGUUUGAGAUUUAUGCUGCUGUUAUUUGUUUAGUCCAGACUAAAUGACAGAAAUCCACAACUGUAAUUUCAUUUCAGGACUCAGUUAUUAAAUGUCAAAACAAUCCAUGUGACUCUAAAAACUCAACAGCUUUACAAACUCUAAGAUUAAACUCUCCACAAGGAUCCAAAAUAAAUUGGACUUCUACAUGAGAGCUUCAAUUAUUCUUCAUCUACUUCCUGAAAAGUUUGGUCAAUAAAAAAGACAAAAACUAAUAUUUUCAGCUGAACUAAAGACAGACUUUGUGAUUUUUCUGCUCACAUGUUGUUGUAAACUUCCUCUUUCAAAUAAAUAGCCGCCUAACCCCCUGGAAACCAGCGUUUGUCCUGUUUUUGUGUUGCUCCUCGGCGACCCUAGACAGCCGGGUCGUAAUGUUUUUUGAGCAACACACCAUACUAUGACGUUUUUACAAUGAUGGUUCUACUAUGAAACCAGUUUGACAUGUUCAGGCGUUCUUUCUGUGAAAACUCAGAGAUUUCAGGUAUCAGAAGGUGGUUUUCAACUUUCUUUGUUAACUUUCUGCUUCAACUUUAAACUAAAUUUCCUUGACUAACCCAGCCCUCUGGACUUCCAGGAAGCUGUGUUCCUAUUGGCUGUCCAGGUGGCUGCUUGGUGUUAUCAGGAACACCUGAGCAGCUCAGUGUCUUCCUGCUUUAUUUAGCUGCAGACAAACAUUUCCUCUGCUUCCUUCACCACUGAACCGGGUUUGGUUCCAUUACUUUAGUUUGUUCUUUAGGCGUUGGCUUGCAGCUUCCAGCAGUAAAAUCGUCUUUAAUGUGUUUCUUGGUGUGUUUGAGGGCUUUGUACUGGAUAGUUGUCUUGGUAAAUGUGGUUCUUUAGCCACAGUUAGCACAUGGUGCUAAUGUGUGCAGUGAUUAGUGGAUUUGCUGCAGCUGAGUUGUGUCUUUAUCUUGGCUGUAGUGAGUCUUUAGAGGUUUUUGGUCAGACACAUUCUGUAUUCUUGUUUGUGAACCCACGUUGGUUGUCCAGAAGGUAAGAGUUCCUGUCCUGAUUCUCUGUUUAAAGAGGUUCUCUGGUAGGCUGCAGGAAACUUUAGCAUUUGGGUUGUGCUAGUUUGGUUUUUGUACGGUUUCAUUUGGACGACUAUCUUGAGGCUCCUCCAUGUGGUUUAGUGAGGUUUUCUGGAACAGUUCUACAAAGCAACCUGCAGCAGAAGAGACUUUGAGAGUUUUUAGGAAGUUCUGGAGACCAGACUUUAGAGCAGCAGAAACAUUUAUCAGCAGUUUGAGCAGGAGAAGGUGAGCUUCAGAGUAGAAAUGAGAUGGAAACCUUCUUGACCCGUGUGGUGAGGUCUUGUACCAAGAGUUUGAGCAGGUUGUGAAGAGUCUGUAGUUCUUUGGUCUGAAAGCACAAGAAGAGUUGACUCAUUAAAGGAGAAAACGGGAGAUAUUAUUGGUUCUUCUGUCGCUCUGCAGUUUCCUUAGACUGAAUAUCAAGUUUAUAUUUUAAAUGAUUUACCACGUGAGCCCAAGAAGACUUCAAUAAACUCCCUCCAUCCCCUGGACACAACAUAUUUUAUUACCAUGUUAAAUCUUAUAUUUUUAAAUAUGUUUUUGAGUUUUAAUGAUAAUUUUAGCAUAGUUUUUUUCUCUUUGCUUGUUUAAUUUUGUCAUCUGUGUGAAAGGUGCUAAACAAAUAAAGCUGAAUUGAUAAACUGAAUAACUGACUAACUCAU